GUAAGGAUAGUCUUUACCAAUCUCAGCAUAUGCUUUGAUGAAGUCCCACUGAAACUCAUAUGCUUAGUGUGUUUUUGAAGCAAACGGUGCAGCAUGCCACUGGCUAAUCAACUCAAAUGUUAAGUAAAUAUGACAAAUAAUGUCGAUAGCUACAAUAUGUUGUGAUGUGAGCAUUUCAUCUAUGAGCCAGCAUCUCAAGCAUAAUCUCUUGGUAGCACAUGGAUGUAGGAGCAACAAAACAAAGAAGAACAUAUAAAGAAAGGAAAUAAGAAGACACCUAUUUCUUCCGAGCAAUGUACAUGCUAUCACACAACAUGAUCAUGCCUAUGAAUUGAACAUCAGGAAAAAAGAAAAUAUCAUAUGCCAAUGCGGAGGUAAGGGCCACGACACACGGUGAACCACCGGGACACAUAGUGAGCCAGGCAAGGUGCUCUUCCUCGAGUCCUACUGGUCUGUCAAAAGCACACGGCCAACCACCGGGACACAUGGCGAGCCGAGCAAGGUGUUGUUCCUAGAGUCCUUCUAGACUAUCUGAGGAGGGUUGGCAUGGGGGGAGGCACAUUGACGGGGAGAACACACCGGUGUCGGGGAUGAUGCUGGCUUAAAAAGCUUUGGCAUAGAUGGCGAAGGGAUUCUCAUCUAGCACGGUGGACUUGACCAAUGUGACAGCAUCAGAUCCAGAAUUCCCAGCAUGUAUGUCUCUCUCCUCUCCUACAAUUGGCACAACAGUAAGUAUAUCGAUCAAUAUCUAUGGACACAGCUGCAUGAGGGCACAACAAGGAACAACAUAAAAGCACAUCAAUCAGGAUGCUUGUUCAGUACACACACCUUCGCAAACAUUAUCUUCUCCUUUUGAUAUUUGAUUUCUACCACGUAAUAAGCACCGCCAUCCAUCUUUCAAAGUCCUGGUUGUUAUUUUGCAUCAUGUUUGUGGCAAUCUGGAUUCAGCAAAACUCUGAAUCCUUUCACGAUAAUCUCAGUGUUUUCAUAGAAGAAGAAUAAUUGUUUGAAACAACCUGGCAGAAAAAAGGUUGCCACGGGGCAAAUCAAGAAACUUGUUGCCCCAGUUUUAAAUCAAGCAACAGCCAACUGACCUUAUUGAGUAUGCAACCAGAACCAUCGUUCCUUGCACAUAGAGAAGGAUAUCGUAGGCAAAAAGGAGUUUUCUGGCGGCGGACGACGAUGCCUUUGAUUUCUCAUCAGUCGUGUCUGGGCUUCGAUUGCAUACAAGAAAGCGUUACAUGGGGAUGGGGUGGGCAGCUGCUCCGGCAACAAAUUCGUUGAUCUGCUAUUCAUUUAUCAUGGCUUAGGCUUUAAUGUGUUCCUAGCUCUCACCCUUACUAUAUCUCUAACCAGCCGCAUGGCAACUUUUCUGCAAAAAUUAUUGCAGGUGAAUUCCGGC
rnacentral:lncRNA from 1 species